UACGUAGGGUGCAAGCGUUGUCCGGAAUUAUUGGGCGUAAAGAGCGUGUAGGCGGCCAGACAGGUCCGUUGUGAAACUCGAGGCUCAACCUCGAGACGCCGAUGGAAACCGUCUGGCUAGAGUCCGGAAGAGGAGAGUGGAAUUCCUGGUGUAGCGGUGAAUGACGCAGAUAUCAGGAAGAACACCGUGGCUAAGGCGGCUCUCUAGUACGGUACUGACGCUGAGACGCGAAGCGUGGGAGCGAACAGG
rnacentral:rRNA from 1 species